GACGAACCGUGCGAACGUUAUUCGGAAUCACUGGGCUUAAAGCGCGUGUAGGCGGGAGGGCACGUCCGUCGCUGAAAUCCCCCGGCUCAACCUCGAGACGCCGGUGGAAACCAUCAGACUAGAGUCCGGAAGAGGAGAGUGGAAUUCCUGGUGUAGCGGUGAAAUGCGCAGAUAUCAGGAAGAACACCCGUGGCUAAGGCGGCUCUCUAGUACGGUACUGACGCUGAGACGCGAAAGCGUGGGGAGCAAACAGG
rnacentral:rRNA from 1 species